AAGGAAUAUUGGUCAAUGGACGCAAGUCUGAACCAGCCAUGCCGCGUGAAGGAUGAAGGUCCUCUGGAUUGUAAACUUCUUUUAUCUGGGACGAAAACGGGAUUUUUAUCUCAAUUGACGGUACCAGAGGAAUAAGCACCGGCUAACUCCGUGCCAGCAGCCGCGGUAAUACGGAGGGUGCGAGCGUUAUCCGGAUUUACUGGGUUUAAAGGGUGCGUAGGUGGGCUUAUAAGUCAGUGGUGAAAUCUCCGAGCUUAACUUGGAAACUGCCGUUGAUACUAUAGGUCUUGAAUUAUCUGGAGGUAAGCGGAAUAUGUCAUGUAGCGGUGAAAUGCUUAGAUAUGACAUAGAACACCAAUUGCGAAGGUAGCUUACUACAUAUAAAUUGACGCUGAGGCACGAAAGCGUGGGGAUCAAACA
rnacentral:rRNA from 1 species